rnacentral:rRNA from 1 species
GAACAUAAGAGUUUGAUCCUGGCUCAGAUUGAACGCUGGCGGCAUGCUUUACACAUGCAAGUCGAACGGCAGCACGGAAGAGCUUGCUCUUUUGGUGGCGAGUGGCGAACGGGUGAGUAAUGCAUCGGAACGUACCGAGUAGUGGGGGAUAACUGUCCGAAAGGAUGGCUAAUACCGCAUAAUCUUUGAGAAGGAAAGCGGGGGCUCUUAGGACCUCGCGCUAUUUGAGCGGCCGAUGUCUGAUUAGCUAGUUGGUGGGGUAAAGGCCUACCAAGGCGACGAUCAGUAGCGGGUCUGAGAGGAUGAUCCGCCACACUGGGACUGAGACACGGCCCAGACUCCUACGGGAGGCAGCAGUGGGGAAUUUUGGACAAUGGGGGCAACCCUGAUCCAGCCAUGCCGCGUGUCUGAAGAAGGCCUUCGGGUUGUAAAGGACUUUUGUCAGGGAAGAAAGGGUUUGUGCUAAUACCACGAACAUAUGACGGUACCUGAAGAAUAAGCACCGGCUAACUACGUGCCAGCAGCCGCGGUAAUACGUAGGGUGCGAGCGUUAAUCGGAAUUACUGGGCGUAAAGCGGGCGCAGACGGUUACUUAAGUCAGAUGUGAAAUCCCCGGGCUCAACCUGGGAACUGCGUUUGAAACUGGGUAGCUAGAGUAUGUCAGAGGGGGGUAGAAUUCCACGUGUAGCAGUGAAAUGCGUAGAGAUGUGGAGGAAUACCGAUGGCGAAGGCAGCCCCCUGGGAUAAUACUGACGUUCAUGCCCGAAAGCGUGGGUAGCAAACAGGAUUAGAUACCCUGGUAGUCCACGCCCUAAACGAUGUCAAUUAGCUGUUGGGGCACUUGAUGCCUUAGUAGCGUAGCUAACGCGUGAAAUUGACCGCCUGGGGAGUACGGUCGCAAGAUUAAAACUCAAAGGAAUUGACGGGGACCCGCACAAGCGGUGGAUGAUGUGGAUUAAUUCGAUGCAACGCGAAGAACCUUACCUGGUCUUGACAUGUACGGAAUCCUCCAGAGACGGAGGAGUGCCUUCGGGAGCCGUAACACAGGUGCUGCAUGGCUGUCGUCAGCUCGUGUCGUGAGAUGUUGGGUUAAGUCCCGCAACGAGCGCAACCCUUGUCAUUAGUUGCCAUCAUUAAGUUGGGCACUCUAAUGAGACUGCCGGUGACAAGCCGGAGGAAGGUGGGGAUGACGUCAAGUCCUCAUGGCCCUUAUGACCAGGGCUUCACACGUCAUACAAUGGUCGGUACAGAGGGUAGCCAAGCCGCGAGGUGGAGCCAAUCUCAUAAAACCGAUCGUAGUCCGGAUUGCACUCUGCAACUCGAGUGCAUGAAGUCGGAAUCGCUAGUAAUCGCAGGUCAGCAUACUGCGGUGAAUACGUUCCCGGGUCUUGUACACACCGCCCGUCACACCAUGGGAGUGGGGGAUACCAGAAGUAGGUAGGGUAACCGCGAGGAGCCCGCUUACCACGGUAUGCUUCAUGACUGGGGUGAAGUCGUAACAAGGUAGCCGUAGGGGAACCUGCGGCUGGAUCACCUCCUUU